GACGAACGCUGGCGGCGUGCUUAACACAUGCAAGUCGAACGGAAAGGCCCUGCUUUUGUGGGGUGCUCGAGUGGCGAACGGGUGAGUAACACGUGAGUAACCUGCCCUUGACUUUGGGAUAACUUCAGGAAACUGGUGCAAAUACCGGAUAGGAGCUCCUGCUGCUAGGUGGGGGUUGGAAAGUUUCGGCGGGUGGGGAUGGACUCGCGGCUUAUCAGCUUGUUGGUGGGGUAGUGGCUUACCAAGGCUUUGACGGGUAGCCGGCCUGAGAGGGUGACCGGCCACAGUGGGACUGAGAUACGGCCCAGACUCCUACGGGAGGCAGCAGUGGGGAAUAUUGCACAAUGGGCGGAAGCCUGAUGCAGCAACGCCGCGUGCGGGAUGACGGCCUUCGGGUUGUAAACCGCUUGAGCCUGUGACGAAGCGUGAGUGACGGUAAUGGGUAAAGAAGCACCGGCUAACUACGUG
rnacentral:rRNA from 1 species